AGUACGUGAAACCGUUGUGAGGUAAACGGAGAGGCCCGGCGGGUCGCUUCGGUGCUUUCAGUUGGGUGGUCGUUUGGCUCGCCCGCCGGAGAUGUGUUUAGCACUCUGGCGGGUGUCCCGGGCGGCCGCCUUCGCACUAGCGCCGUUGCGAACGCCGCGACCGGUUGUGUGGCGACCAGAAGUCUUGUGCGAAGGUAGCCUGGCUGCUCUCGGGUGGCCGGGUGUUACAGCGCGCGGGGUAGACGGCUUGCUGUGCGAUCGAGGUGUACCUGGCCGCGCCUGCCUUUCGGGGCGAGUGGUGUCGUCGGUCGUGAUCGUUAGCGGUCCGCUCUCUGUUCUCAGAGGGUGGUUUGCUGGCUUUCGCGUCUGGCGGUUCGCUCUCCGGGCGCCAAGGGUCUGCGGUUAUGUCGGCCACCUC
rnacentral:rRNA from 1 species